GCUGGGCAUGGUGGCGUGUGCCUGUAGUCCCAGCUACGUGGGAGGCUGAGGCAGAAGAAUCGCUUGAACCCGGGAGGCGGAAGUGGUAGUGAGCCAAGAUCAUGCCAUUGCCCUCCAGCCUGGGUGACAGAGUGAGACUCUGUCUCAA
ensembl:misc_RNA Metazoa_SRP Metazoan signal recognition particle RNA